GACAAGAAAUAACAAUACGGGGCUUAAUGUCAACUAAUUGGAAUGAUGGGAAUUUAAACCUCUUCCAGAGUAUCAAAACGAGGGCAAGUCUGGUGCCAGCAGCCGCGGUAAUUCCAGCUCCAAUAGCGUAUAUUAAAAUUGUUGCAGUUAAAAAGCUCGUAGUUGAAUUUCUGCUGCAUUACUUUUGCUCCUUGACGAGUGUCUGUAUUGCGGCUUAUUUCGGAUUAUGCUUGCAUUUUCCGGAUGUUUACUUUGAGAAAAUUAGAGUGCUCAAAGCAGGCUUUUGCCUUGAAUAGUUUAGCAUGGAAUAAUAAAGUAGGACUUUGGUUCUAUUUUGUUGGUUUUAGGUACCAAAGUAAUGGUUAAUAGGAACAGUUGGGGGCAUUCGUAUUUAACUGUCAGAGGUGAAAUUCUUAG
rnacentral:rRNA from 2 species